UAAUACAGAGGGUGCGAGCGUUAAUCGGAAUUACUGGGCGUAAAGCGUGCGUAGACGGUUAUUUAAGUCGGGUGUGAAAGCCCCGGGCUCAACCUGGGAAUUGCAUUCGAGACUGAAUAGCUAGGGUGCGGAAGAGGGAAGCGGAAUUUCCGGUGUAGCGGUGAAAUGCGUAGAUAUCGGAAGGAACAUCAGUGGCGAAAGCGGCUUCCUGGUCCAGCACCGACGUUCAGGCACGAAAGCGUGGGGAGCAAACAGG
rnacentral:rRNA from 1 species